rnacentral:rRNA from 1 species
UACGUAGGGUGCGAGCGUUGUCCGGAAUUAUUGGGCGUAAAGGGCUCGUAGGCGGUUUGUCGCGUCGGGAGUGAAAACCCAGGGCUUAACUCUGGGCUGGCUUUCGAUACGGGCAGACUAGAGGUAUGCAGGGGAGAACGGAAUUCCUGGUGUAGCGGUGAAAUGCGCAGAUAUCAGGAGGAACACCGGUGGCGAAGGCGGUUCUCCGUGGGCGAAGUUG